rnacentral:rRNA from 1 species
UACGGGAGGCAGCAGCGGGCAAGAUUGAGCAAUGGCCGAAAGCCUGAAGAAGGCAACCGGCGUGAGUGAUGAAGGCCUUCGGGUGGUAAAGCACAGUUGUAAAGGAAGAAAGACCUGACGGUACCUACCAAAGAAGCACCGGCUAACUCCGUGCCAGCAGCCGCGGUAAUACGGAGGGUGCAAGCGUUGCUCGGAAUUACUGGGCGUAAAGCGUCCGCAGGCGGGUAGAUAAGUUGGAUGUGAAAGCCCAGGGCUCAACCCUGGAACUGCAUUCAAAACUGUCUGCCUUGAGUACAGGAGAGGGAAGCGGAAUUCCUGGUGUAGAGGUGAAAUUCGUAGAUAUCAGGAGGAACACCAGUGGCGAAGGCGGCUUCCUGGCUUGACACUGACGCUCAUGGACGAAAGCGUGGGGAGCAAACAGGA